UAAAAACCCCGACUUCGGAAGGGGUGUAUUUAUUAGAUACAAAACCAAUGCCCUUCGGGGCUCUUUGGUGAUUCAUGAUAACUAUACGAAUCGCACGGCCUUGCGCCGGCGAUGGUUCAUUCAAAUUUCUUCCCUAUCAACUUUCGAUGUUUGGGUAUUGGCCAAACAUGGUUGCAACGGGUAACGGAGGGUUAGGGCUCGACCCCGGAGAAGGAGCCUGAGAAACGGCUACUACGUCCAAGGAAGGCAGCAGGCGCGCAAAUUACCCAAUCCCGACUCGGGGAGGUAGUGACAAUAAAUACUGAUACAGGGCCCUUUCGGGCCUUGUAAUUGGAAUGAGUACAAUUUAAAUCCCUUAACGAGGAACAAUUGGAGGGCAAGUCUGGUGCCAGCAGCCGCGGUAAUUCCAGCUCCAAUAGCGUAUAUUAAAGUUGUUGUGGUUAAAAAGCUCGUAGUUGAACCUUGGGCCUGGCUGGCCGGUCCGCCUCACCGCGUGCACUGGUCCGGCCGGGCCUUUCCCUCUGUGGAACCCCAUACCCUUCACUGGGCGUGGCGGGGAAACAGGACAUUUACUUU
rnacentral:rRNA from 1 species